GGAAGUAAAAGUCGAAACAAGGUUUCCGUAGGUGAACCUGCGGAAGGAUCAUUAUUGUAUAACCGAGGUGCGAGGGCUGUCGCUGACCCGAAAGGUCGUGCACGCCCGAGUGCCCUCACACACAUCCAUCUCACCCCUAUGUGCACCACCGCGUGGGUCCCCCUUUGGCUUGUUCGGAGGGGGGCUUACGUUUUCACACAAACUUUGUAUGCAGUGUAGAAUGUAUUUUUUGUUUUUGCGAUCACGCAAUCAAUACAACUUUCAACAACGGAUCUCUUGGCUCUC
rnacentral:misc_RNA from 1 species